rnacentral:lncRNA from 1 species
UGCUGGCAUUAAAGGCAUGUACUACCAGUGCAAGCCCUAUAAUUCUCGACUGUAGUGGUCAUCCGUGUUUUAAGAGUUUUGAUAAGUUUAUUUAUCAUAGAGAGCUAAGACCUUGAACUGUGACCUUCUGUAUACUUUCAGGUACCUGUUGAAAGUUGCAGAGCUAUUUGAAAAACUUAGGAAAGUGGAAGGUCGAGUCUCAUCAGAUGAAGAUUUAAAACUGACAGAGCUCCUCCGAUACUACAUGCUCAACAUAGAGGCUGCAAAGGUAAGGUAGAAUUAUCCAGCCCUUAGCACUAGUUCAUCUUGCCAUGACCAGAAAUUUAAUGCUUAAAAUAAUCCCUUUGUGUUAGAAAGGAAUGUCGCUUUAUUUCGAGGUACACUUUUUGCAGUAUUUCGUGUGUGCAUGUGAAGACCUGAAAACAAACAACCUUGUGGGUUUUCCCUCAUUGCCACACAAUUUUUACUCCCUAGUAAAACGGGUCAUUUCCUACAUUUCAGAAAUUUUAGGUUUUGUGUUAUAUUAGAAAUAAAUAUUUCCUUAUUUCCAGCUAGGUGGUUCCUUGGUACUGAUUUCCAAAAAUGGGAUUUGUGGGG